AUGGAAAAAAAAAAAAAUCCGAAGCAGCAAACAGCAAAACUCACCGCCAGCAAAAAUAAGUCCAAAAUCAGUGGAAAGGAAGUCUCCUUGCCCUGUCCUAUUUUCACACACUGGGUCUUCCUUGCCUUCUGGAGUUGCCACCUUCCCCAGGAAUUCAUGGAUCAGAGAAGGGAGGAUUCACAACUGGAGAAUAGGGCAGACAGAAGGAUAAAUGGAAGAUCCAGCAAGGAAAUAGCACAGAAAACAGGAUCUGAGAGGCAGAAUGCAGUGAAGACGGAGUAAGAACAAGGAUGUUCUCCCAUAAUGAACAGAAAACCUGCACUGAUCUCCAGAAGGAUUAAAUAGAGAAGAUUAUCCUGAGCUACUGGCAGGAGCAAACAGAAGCUUCUGCCUCUUCAGUUUACUGCAUCUGAGACAUGGAGAUAUUUUGGAUCUGUUACUACCUAAUGUGGGUGUUGACAUACUGCAACAUGCAUGUAUCUACUCUGGAGUUUCCAGUGUCAUUGUGGCCUUGAGAAAGGUGAAUUAAAGAUUUAAUAUAAUAAGUUUACUAGAUGAUCUACUGGCAGUGCU
rnacentral:lncRNA from 12 species